ACAUUUAAAUAAACUAUAAAAUCAAUAAAUAAAUAUUAAAUAAAUAAUAUAAAUUUUACAAUUAUUUCGUAAUUACAAAUAAAAAAAUGAAUUGUACAAUGUUUAAAUAUGUGACCCACUACUCUUAAUUUCUCUAAUUUAUUUAUUUUUAUCGUUAGAUUAAAAUCAUAUCAAACAUUUUGCAGUAAAAUCAAAAGAUAUCAAGGAAAUCAAAUUUUAGAAUAUAAAGAGUUAAAAGAACCGUCAAAUUUAUAUUAUACCAAAAUAGAAUUUUUGUUUUACAAAAUACGUCUCAUUACACCUUAGUCAAAUGAUUAUCAUAAAUUUUUGAUCAAAAGAAAUGCCUGCAGAUUUUUCAAAAGUUUCCUAUAGAUCUAUUUUACAGCAGGCAGAUAUGACAGUAUAUCAAGGUCUAUCAAAAUUCUUUCAUCUUUACUACCCUCUUUUACUAGGCAUCAUUUUCCCAUUUUACAAAAUACCACUUACUGUUUACUCCACAUACAUUAUAGUAUUUACACAACGACAAGUGACUAAGUCGUAAACAUCAAUCAUUAACAUUACAAAAUCCUAUCCGUCUUCAAAAGUUUCGAUCUCUUCUUCCUCAUCGAUCACCGUAUAAAAACGUGUAUAGUGGGUACGCCUAUAUAUGACAU
rnacentral:lncRNA from 1 species